rnacentral:rRNA from 1 species
GGAAUAUUGGUCAAUGGGCGCGAGCAUGAACCAGCCAAGUAGCGUGCAGGACGACGGCCCUACGGGUUGUAAACUGCUUUUAUCAGGGGAUAAAGUGCGGGACGUGUCCCUCAUUGCAGGUACCUGAUGAAUAAGGACCGGCUAAUUCCGUGCCAGUAGCCGCGGUAAUACGGAAGGUCCGGGCGUUAUCCGGAUUUAGUGGGUUUAAAGGGAGCGCAGGCCGAAGAUUAAGCGUGACGUGAAAUGUCCCGGCUCAACCGGGGAGUUGCGUCGCGAACUGGUUUUCUUGAGUGAGUGCGAUGUAGGCUGAAUUCGUGGUGUAGCGGUGAAAUGCUUAGAUAUCACGAAGAACCCCGAUUGCGAAGGCAGCCUACUAGGCCUUUACUGACGCUAAAGCUCGAAAGUGCGGGUAUCGAACA